rnacentral:tRNA from 1 species
UACGGAUGACAGGACUCGAACCUGUAUGACUUUAAAGCCCCAGGGCCUAAACCUGGUGUGUCUACCAAUUUCACCACACCCGC